GUAGGGAAUAUUGGACAAUGGGCGGAAGCCUGAUCCAGCCAUGCCGCGUGGAGGAUGACUGCCCUCUGGGUUGUAAACUCCUUUUGUACAGGAAGAAACCUCCUCAUUUAUGAGUGAGCUGACGGUACUGUAAGAAUAAGCACCGGCUAACUCCGUGCCAGCAGCCGCGGUAAUACGGAGGGUGCAAGCGUUAUCCGGAUUCACUGGGUUUAAAGGGUGCGUAGGCGGUUUUAUAAGCCAGUGGUGAAAUCAACGGGAUAAAACUGUUAACUGCCAUUGAUACUGUAGGACUUGAAUAUGAGAGAGGUAGGCGGAAUGUUGCAUGUAGCGGUGAAAUGCUUAGAUAUGCUACGGAACACCAAUUGCGAAGGCAGCUCACUAAGGCGAUACUGACGCUGAGGCACGAAAGCGUGGGGAUCGAACAGGAUUAGAAACCCGGGUAGUCC
rnacentral:rRNA from 1 species